GUGAACGCUGGCGGUAGGCCUAACACAUGCAAGUCGAACGGCAGCACAGUAAGAGCUUGCUCUUACGGGUGGCGAGUGGCGGACGGGUGAGGAAUACAUCGGAAUCUACUUUUUCGUGGGGGAUAACGUAGGGAAACUUACGCUAAUACCGCAUACGACCUACGGGUGAAAGCAGGGGAUCUUCGGACCUUGCGCGAUUGAAUGAGCCGAUGUCGGAUUAGCUAGUUGGCGGGGUAAAGGCCCACCAAGGCGACGAUCCGUAGCUGGUCUGAGAGGAUGAUCAGCCACACUGGAACUGAGACACGGUCCAGACUCCUACGGGAGGCAGCAGUGGGAAAUAUUGGACAAUGGGCGCAAGCCUGAUCCAGCCAUACCGCGUGGGUGAAGAAGGCCUUCGGGUUGUAAAGCCCUUUUGUUGGGAAAGAAAAGCAGCAGGUUAAUACCCCGCUGUUCUGACGGUACCCAAAGAAUAAGCACCGGCUAACUUCGUG
rnacentral:rRNA from 1 species